GGAUCCAGACUUUGAUUCUGGCUCAGGAUGAACGCUAGCGGCAGGCUUAACACAUGCAAGUCGAGGGGCAGCGCGGGGCGGCAACGUCCUGGCGGCGACCGGCGGAAGGGUGCGUAACGCGUGAGCGACAUGCCCGUUGCCCGGGGACAACCGGUGGAAACGCCGACUAAUCCCCGAUGGGACGGAGGCCCUCAUGGGUCUCUGUUGAAAGUUACGGCGGCGACGGAUUGGCUCGCGUCCGAUUAGCUUGUUGGCGGGGUAACGGCCCACCAAGGCUACGAUCGGUAGGGGUUCUGAGAGGAAGGUCCCCCACAAUGGAACUGAGACACGGUCCAUACUCCUACGGGAGGCAGCAGUGAGGAAUAUUGGUCAAUGGGCGGAAGCCUGAACCAGCCAUGCCGCGUGCGGGAAGGAGGCCCUAUGGGCUGUGAACCGCUUUUGCCUGGGGGCAAUAAGGGCGUCGCGCACGUCCGAUGAGAGUACCAGGGGAAUAAGCAUCGGCUAACUCCGUGCCAGCAGCCGCGGUAAUACGGGGGAUGCGAGCGUUAUCCGGAUUCAUUGGGUUUAAAGGGUGCGUAGGCUGUGCGUCAAGUCAGGGGUGAAAUUCCGGGGCUCAACUCCGGGGCUGCCCUUGAUACUGUCGCGCUGGAGUGCGGAUGCCGCCGGAGGAAUGAGUGGUGUAGCGGUGAAAUGCUUAGAUAUCACUCAGAACACCGAUUGCGAAGGCAUCUGGCGAAUCCGUAACUGACGCUGAGGCACGAAAGCGUGGGGAUAGAACAGGAUUAGAUACCCUGGUAUUCCACGCCGUAAACGAUGAUGGCUAACCGCCGGCGACAUACUGUCGGUG
rnacentral:rRNA from 1 species